GUAGUUUGGGGGUUUAAAUGAAAGAAAAAAAAUCUGUGUCGGAAUGUGCAUUGUCUUUUCCAAAGAUCCCAUUUUGAAAUGUUUAAUAAUUUGGCAUGCAUUCAGCAACCCCUGAUCCCAUAAAUAAACUUCUUCCCUCUUGUCUUCUUCCCCCCACACCAUUAUUCCUUCCUCCAAGUGGAGAAAGAUUGUAUAUAAUCAUCCAUGUGUUUUUCAUAAAAUCUAUGUCCGGCCCAUGUGCUCAUGUUGGGGAUGUAUGUAUGGAUGUCUCAAUUGAGUUCUGAUUAGAUAAUUAUAUCACUGUGUUCAUAUGAUUCAUCAACAAGAAUUAAGGUUUCGUUCGUUUUAUGUCGAAUCUUCAGAAGACUCUCAAAGAAACGGAACCAAAGGUCUGAGACCUAAGUCAAUCCCCCAAAUCGUUCAGGUAAAUCAUCGAUUUCGGGAGAAGGCUACCAAAUCGUCGAUUUUGGGGCGUCUUAAUGGCCCAGGCACGAUCUCUGGCGCAGAGGAACCCUCAUAGCACACCUAAGACAUCAACUUCACAUAUUUCAGAACGACAUUUAUGGAGCAAUCGUCGAUUGGACGCCCAAAUCGUUGAUUCUCCACUAAAGACUUAGCGUAGAGCAACUUUUGUGGAUUUUAGAUUUUAGAGCCUUCUUUCAAUUCAAAUUCUAAGUCACAAUGAGUUUCUUAGAGUUUAAGAUUUGAAUCUAGAUGUGUGUUUCUAUAUAAUGUGAGUUUAUUUUUCUUUCCAACCUUUUUCUUAAAUUUCUGGUCUUCUUUAUUGGAAGAAAAUAGGAUGUAGUAUUCUUUUUAAUCUCUUCUUUAUUUUCCUUUCCAAUUACUAAAGGAUGGCUACCUUUACUUUGGUCCAUAUUUUUAAUUAAUUAACGACAAA
rnacentral:lncRNA from 1 species